rnacentral:rRNA from 1 species
AUUGAACGCUGGCGGCAGGCCUAACACAUGCAAGUCGAGCGAGCGGCGGACGGGUGAGUAAUGUAUGGGGAUCUGCCCGAUAGAGGGGGAUAACUACUGGAAACGGUGGCUAAUACCGCAUACCAUCAGAUGUGCCCAGAUGGGAUUAGCUAGUAGGUGGGGUAAUGGCUCACCUAGGCGACGAUCCCUAGCUGGUCUGAGAGGAUGACCAGCCACACUGGAACUGAGACACGGUCCAGACUCCUACGGGAGGCAGCAGUGGGGAAUAUUGGACAAGGGGCGAAAGCCUGAUCCAGCCAUGCCGCGUGUGUGAAGAAGGUCUUCGGAUUGUAAAGCACUUUAAGUUGGGAGGCGUUACCAACAGAAUAAGCACCGGCUAACUUCGUGCCAGCAGCCGCGGUAAUAC